rnacentral:tRNA from 1 species
GGAGAGGUGCCAGAGUGGUUGAAUGGGGCGGUCUCGAAAACCGUUGCACGGCCCGGCCGUGCCGGGGGUUCGAAUCCCCCUCUCUCCGCCA